GGGAAUUAAUACUCGCAGUAAUGAAGAGGAUGAGGAGUCAACUUUUUAGCAUGGAAAAGAGAGUUCCCUUUAUGCUACAGUUUGAUGUAUAUUUUUCCUGAUUCAAAAUUUAUAAGGAAUAGAAGGCAAGUAUGAUAAGGUUUCCUCUUUACACCUAUUAGCAUUUAAAUACAAGUUUUCAUGCAUUUUGUCUAAGCCUAAUUAUUUUUAUUUCUUAAAUUAAUUAAACCUUGAGGUUGCAGCAAAAGACAGAAAUUGUGUUUCAAAUUUUUU
rnacentral:misc_RNA from 1 species